rnacentral:rRNA from 1 species
AUUGAACGCUGGCGGCAUGCCUUACACAUGCAAGUCGAACGGCAGCACGGGAGCUUGCUCCUGGUGGCGAGUGGCGAACGGGUGAGUAAUACAUCGGAACGUACCCAGGAGUGGGGGAUAACGUAGCGAAAGUUACGCUAAUACCGCAUAUUCUGUGAGCAGGAAAGCGGGGGAUCGCAAGACCUCGCGCUCUUGGAGCGGCCGAUGUCGGAUUAGCUAGUUGGUGAGGUAAAAGCUCACCAAGGCGACGAUCCGUAGAAGGUCUGAGAGGAUGAUCUGCCACACUGGGACUGGGACACGGCCCAGACUCCUACGGGAGGCAGCAGUGGGGAAUUGUGGACAAUGGGGGCAACCCUGAUCCAGCCAUGCCGCGUGAGUGAAGAGGCCCUUCGGGUUGUAAAGUUCUUUCGGCGGGGAAGAAAUGGCAACGGCUAAUAUCCGUUGUUGAUGACGGUACCCGCAUAAGAAGCACCGGCUAACUACGUGCCAGCAGCCGCCGUAA